AGUGAACGCUGGCGGUAGGCCUAACACAUGCAAGUCGAACGGCAGCACAGUAAGAGCUUGCUCUUACGGGUGGCGAGUGGCGGACGGGUGAGGAAUACAUCGGAAUCUACUUUUUCGUGGGGGAUAACGUAGGGAAACUUACGCUAAUACCGCAUACGACCUACGGGUGAAAGCAGGGGAUCUUCGGACCUUGCGCGAUUGAAUGAGCCGAUGUCGGAUUAGCUAGUUGGCGGGGUAAAGGCCCACCAAGGCGACGAUCCGUAGCUGGUCUGAGAGGAUGAUCAGCCACACUGGACUGAGACACGGUCCAGACUCCUACGGGAGGCAGCAGUGGGGAAUAUUGGACAAUGGGCACAAGCCUGAUCCAGCCAUACCGCGUGGGUGAAGAAGGCCUUCGGGUUGUAAAGCCCUUUUGUUGGGAAAGAAAAGCAGCAGGUUAAUACCCCGCUGUUCUGACGGUACCCAAAGAAUAAGCACCGGCUAACUUCGUG
rnacentral:rRNA from 1 species